rnacentral:rRNA from 1 species
AACGAACGCUGGCGGCAUGCCUAACACAUGCAAGUCGAGCGAGGACUUCGGUUCUAUCGGCGGACGGGUGAGUAACGCGUGGGAAUGUUCCCUUCUCUACGGAAUAGCCCUGGGAAACUGGGAGUAAUACCGUAUACGCCCUUUUGGCGAAAGAUUUAUCGGAGAAGGAUCAGCCCGCGUUGGAUAAGGUAUUUGGUUGGGUAAUGGCCUACCAAGCCGACGAUCCAUAGCUGGUUUGAGAGGAUGAUCAGCCACACUGGGAGUGAGACACGGCCCAGACUCCUACGGGAGGCAGCAGUGGGGAAUGGUAGACAAUGGGGGCAAGCCUGAUCUAGCCAGGCCGGGUGAGUGAUGAAGGCCUUAAGGUUGUAAAGCUCUGUCAGCUGGGAAGAUAAUGACGGUACCAGCAGAAGAAGCCACGGCUAACUCCGUG